UGGGGAAUUUUGCACAAUGGGGGAAACCCUGAUGCAGCGACGCCGCGUGAUUUAGAAGGCCUUCGGGUUGUAAAAAUCUUUUCUAUGGGAAGAAAAUGACAGUACCAUAGGAAUAAGGACCGGCUAAUUACGUGCCAGCAGCCGCGGUAAUACGUAAGGUCCGAGCGUUGUCCGGAAUCAUUGGGCGUAAAGGGUACGUAGGCGGGUAAGCAAGUUAGAAGUGAAAUCCUAUAGCUCAACUAUAGUAAGCUUUUAAAACUGCUCAUCUUGAGGUAUGGAAGGGAAAGUGGAAUUCCUAGUGUAGCGGUGAAAUGCGCAGAUAUUAGGAGGAAUACCGGUGGCGACGGCGACUUUCUGGCCAUAACCUGACGCUGAGGUACGAAAGCGUGGGUAGCAAACAGG
rnacentral:rRNA from 1 species